rnacentral:sRNA from 1 species
ACGGUUGGUGGCGCACUUCCUGAUUUCCGGGCAGUGUCACACGUCUGCGUACAGCAAACAGAUACCCGCCCGCUCAUCAGCGGGCUUUUUUUU